AUGUCUGGAAUUUCAGGAUUCCUUUUGUCUGACUCAAUGAACUCCGUUGUUGAUCUUAUCAAUUCUUAUUCGGAGAUAGAGGUCGAUAAGAGGAACCUUAAUGAAGCUGGUACAAGGCCAGCAAAUAAGUUAAUUUUCGAUUAAUGAAGAGUACUUACGUAGAAAUUCAAGCUAGUAAGGGGAAUUCGACAGGGUUUUCCACUGGCUCCGUACCUCUUUGUGUUAUAUAUGGAAUGGCUAGGGACUGAUUUGGAGGCAAAAGUAAAAUUAAGGGACAAAAGUGCGAAUUUGGAGACACAAUGGGUUGAUAUGUGACACAGGAAAAAGAUUGUGCCAAAAGUGCGAGCAUGGAAGACACAAUGACUAAAAACGCAAAAAGAAAAGAUUUUAUUUUAUAAGACUCCAUUUUAUUAUGAUAAUUAAUAUUAAGAUAAAUAUUAGGAUUAUUGAAUUUUU